rnacentral:rRNA from 1 species
CAGUCGCCACGGUAACACGUAGGGUGCGAGCGUUAAUCGGAAUUACUGGGCGUAAAGCGUGCGCAGGCGGUUGUGUAAGACAGGUGUGAAAUCCCCGGGCUUAACCUGGGAACUGCGCUUGUGACUGCACAGCUAGAGUAUGGCAGAGGGGGGUGGAAUUCCACGUGUAGCAGUGAAAUGCGUAGAGAUGUGGAGGAACACCGAUGGCGAAGGCAGCCCCCUGGGCCAAUACUGACGCUCAUGCAUGAAAGCGUGGGGAGCAAACAGGAUUAGAUACCCCCGUAGUCCCUGUCUCUUAUAC